GGGAAACUGCCUGAUGGAGGGGGAUAACUACUGGAAACGGUAGCUAAUACCGCAUAACGUCGUAAGACCAAAGAGGGGGACCUUCGGGCCUCUUGCCAUCAGAUGUGCCCAGAUGGGAUUAGCUAGUAGGUGGGGUAACGGCUCACCUAGGCGACGAUCCCUAGCUGGUCUGAGAGGAUGACCAGCCACACUGGAACUGAGACACGGUCCAGACUCCUACGGGAGGCGGCAGUGGGGAAUAUUGCACAAUGGGCGCAAGCCUGAUGCAGCCAUGCCGCGUGUAUGAAGAAGGCCUUCGGGUUGUAAAGUACUUUCAGCGGGGAGGAAGGUGUUGAGGUUAAUAACCUCAGCAAUUGACGUUACCCGCAGAAGAAGCACCGGCUAACUCCGUGCCAGCAGCCGCGGUAAUACGGAGGGUGCAAGCGUUAAUCGGAAUUACUGGGCGUAAAGCGCACGCAGGCGGUCUGUCAAGUCGGAUGUGAAAUCCCCGGGCUCAACCUGGGAACUGCAUUCGAAACUGGCAGGCUGGAGUCUUGUAGAGGGGGGUAGAAUUCCAGGU
rnacentral:rRNA from 1 species